rnacentral:tRNA from 2 species
CAUUGAGAAGCUUUGCAUCAGCACUAGCCUUUUAAGUUAGAGAAGGAGACUAAUAUUUCCCUCAAUGA